rnacentral:rRNA from 1 species
AGAGUUUGAUCCUGGCUCAGGAUGAACGCUGGCGGUCUGCUUAACACAUGCAAGUCGAACGGAGUAGAAAUACUUAGUGGCGGACGGGUGAGUAACGCGUGAGAAUCUGCCUUCAGGACGGAGACAACAGUUGGAAACGACUGCUAAGCCCCGAUGAACCGAAAGGGAAAAUAUUUAUAGCCUGAAGAUGAGCUCGCGUCCGAUUAGCUAGUUGGCGGAGUAAAAGCCCACCAAGGCGACGAUCGGUAGCUGGUCUGAGAGGAUGAUCAGCCACACUGGGACUGAGACACGGCCCAGACUCCUACGGGAGGCAGCAGUGGGGAAUUUUCCGCAAUGGGCGAAAGCCUGACGGAGCAAGACCGCGUGAGGGAGGAAGGCUCUUGGGUUGUAAACCUCUUUUGUCAGGGAAGAAGAAAGUGACGGUACCUGACGAAUCAGCAUCGGCUAACUCCGUGCCAGCAGCCGCGGUAAUACGGAGGAUGCAAGCGUUAUCCGGAAUUAUUGGGCGUAAAGCGUCCGCAGGUGGCACUUCAAGUCUGUCGUCAAAGACCGGGGCUUAACCCUGGAAAGGCGAUGGAAACUGAAGCGCUAGAGUGUGGCAGGGGUAGAGGGAAUUCCCGGUGUAGCGGUGAAAUGCGUAGAGAUCGGGAAGAACAUCGGUGGCGAAAGCGCUCUACUGGGUCACAACUGACACUCAGGGACGAAAGCUAGGGGAGCGAAUGGGAUUAGAUACCCCCGUAGUCC